UACGUAGGGAGCAAGCGUUGUCCGGAAUCAUUGGGCGUAAAGCGCGCGUAGGUGGCCUCGUAAGUCCGCUGUGAAAGUCAAAGGCUCAACCUUUGAAAGCCGGUGGAUACUGUGAGGCUAGAGUACGGAAGAGGCGAGUGGAAUUCCUGGUGUAGCGGUGGAAUGCGCAGAUAUCAGGAGGAACACCAAUAGCGAAGGCAGCUCGCGGGGACGUAACUGACACUGAGGCGCGAAAGCGUGGGGAGCGAACAGG
rnacentral:rRNA from 1 species